AACGAAUAGAUAGAAACUCAUAGCAUAUUUUACUUGCCUCAUUAGCAUGAAUUAUGAAUAGAAUAUAAUAGAAUAGAAUAGAAGGAGAUGCCACAGGUAGCCUAAUGGUUUCAGAAUGUUUUGGGCUUUGUUAGCUCAUUUCCAUAGAAUGAGCAUUGAAAUAAUUACAGACAAAUAAUUUAGAGAUGGUUUUAAUAUUCAAUUAUUUCCUGAUUUCACCUUUACUUGCAUUUAAACUAAUUAUGUGACAGAAGAAAUACCAUAACAUAGUAUUAUGAACCGUAAAUAACUAGGCUAAGUUAAAUAAUAGAAUAGAAUAGGAUCAAAUAGCCUGCAUGGCUCUUAAGACUUUCAGCACUGUCAAAGCAGGACAGACCGUCACUAGAGAGACAGCUCGAACCUAAAUAAAAUCCCGCCUUUUGGACAAUGUUUUACACUUACUCUACCCUCAUAGGUUAAGAGAAACAGGGUGUAGGUGGAAACACCCUUCUCGCCUUUCUAUUGGUCUAAACUGACGCCAGUCAGAAGGAUGCCGUUGCAGCUUUAACCAGCAGUAGGCUGAGUAUAGAACACGGUGCAGGUUAAUAUUAGUUACCGUUGAGGCUAGCUGCAUCCGACACUUCGUUAAAGGAUGAUGCAGGUGGAAACGUUUUAUCCGUUUCAAAGAUCUGACUGAGUGAGAGUGUGUGGGGGUGUGGGGUGUGAGAGACAGAGAGACUGAGAGAUAAAUAAUGUUUGAGGAAGAGAGAGAUUUGUGAGAGAAAGUGAAAGAGUGAGAGUGAGUGAAAAGCGAGAGAGAGAGAGGUAGAGAGCGAGAGAGACAGAGAGAGAGAGUGUGUGUGUGUGUGAGAGAGAGAAAGAGAGAGUCAAAGAGAGAGCGAGAGAAGAUGAGGCGACUCCUCCAGGACUCUCCUCUGUGUUGCGUGGUGAAACUCUGGUCUCAGUCCGGCCUGGAGUUCUCUCUUCUCUAAGACCUUCCUGCUCCUCUCAGCUGGUUUCCUCUUCAUGAAGACCACUGACAUCGGUGAUGUGAUGAAUAAAUUUGAAGUCCUUGGCAUUGUAGGUGAAGGAGCCUAUGGAGUGGUUCUGAAGUGCAGGCACAAGG